CAAAUCUUGGCGGUGGAUCACUCGGUUCGUGGAUCGAUGAAGAACGCAGCUAGCUGCGAUAAAUAGUGCGAAUUGCAGACACAUUGAGCACUAAAAAUUCGAACGCAC
rnacentral:rRNA from 1 species